rnacentral:rRNA from 1 species
UACGAAGGGGGCUAGCGUUGCUCGGAAUCACUGGGCGUAAAGCGCACGUAGGCGGGUCUUUAAGUCGGAGGUGAAAUCCUGGAGCUCAACUCCAGAACUGCCUUCGAUACUGAGGAUCUCGAGUCCGGGAGAGGUGAGUGGAACUGCGAGUGUAGAGGUGAAAUUCGUAGAUAUUGGGAAGAACACCGGUGGCGAAGGCGGCGACCUGGGACGAUACUGACGCUGAGGUGCGAAAGCGUGGGGAGCAAACAGG